UAGAUCUAGAGAAUUAUGCAAGAAAUUUGAAGGAAUUUGGUUUAGAAAUGGAUGAAAUAAGGGCUGAAUGCUAUAAAUGUUGUUGUCACGUACAGGGGUGUACCUGUGGAGAAUUUAAAGAAUUUCUCUCAAACCAAUCGAGCAAUUAGAAUAUUUUCUUCACGAAAGUUGAAGAGGAUUGAGUAAGGAAGAACUUCGAGGGCUAUCGAAGGAGAACGGAUUUGAGAAGGCUAUCAAUUUUGAAGAAAACAGAAGGCUGUGAAAUUUUUUCGAAAAAUAGAGGACUUCGGUUUUUAUGCAAAUUCAUGGGCUUAUAGGCUAAUUCAAAGGGGACCGAGGAGGGUUUGACCGAUUUUGGGAGAUUCAGGGCGAUUUCAGGCUCCAACCUUUGUGGUCAAGUUCAAUUAGGAGAGGUUUAUAAACCCGAAGGAUGGAGCUGAAAAUUGUAGCAGUCGACGCCUCGAGGCCUAACAGUUCUGCCAGUUAGUCACUACUCAAGGAUCAUAGAGGGCUUGAAGUCUAGGUGGUCUACUAUGUCCUGUUUAAAUCCUAGUUUUGUUUGUACAUGUCGUAGGAAUCAAGGUAGAACUUGUGUCGAACUGUUGUUAUAAAUAGGCCUGGUUUUUCUGAAACUAUUAUAUAUGUUCAAGUUAAUAUU